GGCCUCAAUCUAGAAUGGCCAUGUGACCAUGCAUGGAACCAGGAUCAAAUUUUUCCUCAGUCCCAUUAUCAAAUAUCUUAGUUCUGAUCUCAUAUAGUGUUUAUGAAAUCAGUCACUUUACAUGAGUUAUAUUAUAAUUCUAGUCUCAGAUCAUGUUUUAGUUAUAAAUCAUCAGUUCUGCAGUUCUGAUUGCAUUUGACCUCAUUUUACAAAAUGGGACCAAACGGAACCAUGUUUUACCCUAUAUAGAUUGGCAGCGAUAGAUAGAUUAGCAGCGAUAGAUAAAUUGGCAGCGGUAGAUAGCUUAGCAGCAAGGGAUAGAUUAGCAGCGAUAGAUAGAUUAGCAGCGGUAGAUAAAUUGACAGUGGUAGAUAAAUUGACAGCAUUGAUAGAUUGGCAGCGGUACAUAGAUUGGCAGCGGUACAUAGCUUAGCAGCGAGGGAUAACUUAGCA
rnacentral:sRNA from 1 species